ACCGAGGAGUUGUCCGUGCAAGUCGGACCAUUUUGACACCCAACAGCUAGCCUUCCCACCCAAACUAAUCAAACCC
rnacentral:tRNA from 1 species